AGUGAACGCUGGCGGUAGGCCUAACACAUGCAAGUCGAACGGCAGCACAGUAAGAGCUUGCUCUUACGGGUGGCGAGUGGCGGACAGGUGAGGAAUACAUCGGAAUCUACUUUUUCGUGGGGGAUAACGUAGGGAAACUUACGCUAAUACCGCAUACGACCUACGGGUGAAAGCAGGGGAUCUUCGGACCUUGCGCGAUUGAAUGAGCCGAUGUCGGAUUAGCUAGUUGGCGGGGUAAAGGCCCACCAAGGCGACGAUCCGUAGCUGGUCUGAGAGGAUGAUCAGCCACACUGGAACUGAGACACGGUCCAGACUCCUACGGGAGGCAGCAGUGGGGAAUAUUGGACAAUGGGCGCAAGCCUGAUCCAGCCAUACCGCGUGGGUGAAGAAGGCCUUCGGGUUGUAAAGCCCUUUUGUUGGGAAAGAAAAGCAGCAGGUUAAUACCCCGCUGUUCUGACGGUACCCACAGAAUAAGCACCGGCUAACUUCGUG
rnacentral:rRNA from 1 species